GACGAACGCUGGCGGCGUGCUUAACACAUGCGGGUCGAACGGAAAGGCCCUUCGGGGUACUCGAGUGGCGAACGGGUGAGUAACACGUGGGUGAUCUGCCCUGCACUUUGGGAUAAGCCUGGGAAACUGGGUCUAAUACCGAAUAUGAUCAUCGGCUUCAUGGUCGGUGGUGGAAAGCUUUUGCGGUGUGGGAUGGGCCCGCGGCCUAUCAGCUUGUUGGUGGGGUAAUGGCCUACCAAGGCGACGACGGGUAGCCGGCCUGAGAGGGUGACCGGCCACACUGGGACUGAGAUACGGCCCAGACUCCUACGGGAGGCAGCAGUGGGGAAUAUUGCACAAUGGGCGCAAGCCUGAUGCAGCGACGCCGCGUGAGGGAUGACGGCCUUCGGGUUGUAAACCUCUUUCAGCACAGACGAAGCGCAAGUGACGGUAUGUGCAGAAGAAGGACCGGCCAACUACGUG
rnacentral:rRNA from 1 species